rnacentral:rRNA from 1 species
AGAGUUUGAUCCUGGCUCAGAGUGAACGUUGGCGGCGUGCCUGACACAUGCAAGUUGAACGAUUCUCGAAUAGCUUGCUAUUCGGGAAGAGUAGCGAACGGGUGAGUAACACGUGAGUAAUCACCCCUCGAGUGAGGAAUAAUUCCGCGAAAGCGGGACUAAUACCGCAUAAUACUCUGGGGCAUAAGCCCUUAGAGUCAAAGCUUUCCGAGCAAUCGGAUGGCUCUUGAGGACGAGCUCGCGGCCUAUUAGCUAGUUGGUAGGGUAAUGGCCUACCAAGGUUAUGAUGGGUAGCCGGCUUGAGAGGGUGUACGGCCACACUGGGACUGAGACACGGCCCAGACUCCUACGGGAGGCAGCAGUGGGGAAUUUUGCGCAAUGGGCGAAAGCCUGACGCAGCGACGCCGCGUGGAGGAUGAAGGCCUUCGGGUUGUAAACUCCUGUCAGAGGAGAAGAAUUCCCGAGUAAUCGGGAUUGACGGUAUCCUCAGAGGAAGCCCCGGCCAACUACGUGCCAGCAGCCGCGGUAAGACGUAGGGGGCGAACGUUGCUCGGAAUUACUGGGCGUAAAGGGUGUGUAGGUGGCUGAGUAAGUCAAAGAUGAAAUCCCAAGGCUCAACCUUGGAAUUGUUUUUGAAACUGUUCAGCUUGAGGAUAGUUGAGGAGAAUGGAAUUCCCGGUGGAGCGGUGAAAUGCGUAGAUAUCGGGAGGAACACCAGAGGCGAAAGCGAUUCUCUAAGCUAUUCCUGACACUGAGACACGAAAGCUAGGGGAGCAAACGGGAUUAGAUACCCCGGUAGUCCUAGCCGUAAACGAUGGGCACUAGAUGUUUCCGCUUUUGGCGGAGUGUCGAAGCUAACGCAUUAAGUGCCCGCCUGGGGAGUACGGUCGCAAGGCUGAAACUCAAGGAAUGACGGGGCCCGCACAGCGUGAGCAUGUGGUCAUCGACGCACGCGAGACUACUGGGUUUGACUGUGUGUAAACUCGAGAGAUGAUCCUGCUGGCAGAGCAGCGAGUGCUGCAUGCUGUCGUCAGCUCUGUCUGAAUGUUGGUAGUUCCCGCACGAGGCAUCUGCUAGUGCAGCGAGUUAGUCCGUACUCUAGGACUGCCUCGAAACGG